UAUAUAUAUAUAUAUAUAUACAUACAUAUACAUAUCACUUUAGAACUGAUGAUGGUUAUGGGUUUCUUGGACUAUGAAACGUAAAACUACAUAAAAUCUUUCAGGAAGUCGCACCGCUGGUACGUUUAAAUUCUAUAUUUUUUUUAAUGAUUUUUCCUUACGUAUUUGAAAUUUUCUAAAGAAAGUAAUGUAAGGAAUAAGAAUUAGAUACAAAAUGCACGUUUUAUAUGCCAUAAAAAAACAUUGGUGUGCUAAAACAAAAUGAAUGCAAACAAAACAAAUAUCGUAGCAGGACUGUAUUUGAUACGGGGGAGUUUAGACUAGGAAAUCAAAUUUGUAUAAAUGAGUGCAUACGUAUUAGUCCGCGGCAAUUAUUAUAUAGUUAUCGAUGGUUUUCAUGCAUUCUACGCGGCACAAACAUAUUAUGAAUUUUUAAACUUAAGUACUUACUUAAAAAUUCCAUUUGAGUUGUAACUGUUCGUUCUAACCUGGGAAAUACAACCUAAAUGACAAGACAAAUCAUAUUACAUGUCGUACAUCGUUCCAUUAAGUCAAAGUUUAUAGUAUAUUCCUAUAACAAAUGCGUAUAUAAAAUACAGUAUAUAAUGCACUCAAAACAAGCAGGCCAUUUAGAAAAAUUUUAUUUUCUGUUGACAGUUUACGUGCACAAAAACAUAACAUUUAAUCGUCUCUGGCACGUUAUGAGAUUAAGUUUAUUUUAGAUACUUCCUCUUUCGAAAAAAACAAACAAACAAUUUCGUCACAUACUGUUUUUUUCUUCUGAUUCCAGCAAUCCUUCAACUCAUUGUCUUACAGAAUACCAACAUUUCAUUACAAGUUUUUCGCUGAAAUGGCCCAUUAUUAAAUUAAAUCUUGACUAAUUUUAUAAAAAAAAUAUUUAACCAUAAUCACGAUGAUAUCCGUGUAUGUAAACAGUUACGUAACACUACAAAUGUGAAAAUGUACCCACACACAAACGAAAUUUCGUUUUGUAGCAUAAAGAUUAAUACAGUAGAUAAAUAUUUUUCAAGUUUAGUUUUGUAAUAUUUACUUUUUAUUUCCGAAGGUACAACUACUGUUUGCAAAAAUAAUGAAAAAAAAUUAAGUACUAUUAAAGAGCAUCUACAGGUUUAAAAUUUGCCAAAUGUAAUACUAUAUGAAUUCUGAGCAACAUAUUAAGUUAUUGACAACAUCUUUUAUAGUUACGUAAAAUUCAGUAACAUGCUAAAGGUGGUUCAGAAUAGAAUUCAAAAUUCCAAAGACAGUUUAAGCAUUUUUAAAUACAAAUGCGUAAUUAAUCACAUAAAAAACAUGUUAGACAUUUUACCGUGCCACCUAUUGGUCGAAACUUAUGCUAUAAUGUGUAGUAAAUAAAUCAAAAUUUCCGCAAAAAUUGCUAUAAGUGCACCCAGAAAAAACCUUAAACAAUUCGAGAGUAAAAUCAACAAACAAAAACCACUUAACUCAGAAAUAUUUUAAAAAAUAUUACAGAUGAAAAUAGACAACAGAGAGAUUAAUGAUUAAUGGACUAAAUCUAGGCAAACAGCAGAUGAAUCACAAAAAAAAGAAGGGGGGGGGGACAGGCUAUUUUUAAUUAAAUAGUUUCCUUUAAAUAAAUUUUUAAUAAAUCUUAAACUAGCAAACUUAAUGAAUAUUAAAGCAAAGGCAAAUUAAAAUUCUUUAACUACUCUAAUGAAUUAUAUUAUUUCACUUAGGCUUGCAACAUUAGCGAGAAAAAAGAAGAAGCUGGGGUUGACACAGAACCCUCUGCCUGCUGGUAAUGGUCCUGCAACACCAACCUUGCCAGAGAGCCCAGGCGGUGAAAGUUCGGUCCCCACAGUGCCAGAUGUAACCACCAUGGCGUCUUCAGUGGCGGCGUGUACAUCACGCAACACUGAUGACAGUACACAUACUCUGUCCGAUGACUAUCAAGGGAAUGAUGACCUUCCUCCGCUGAUAGUGGUUUACGAGCCUCCAUUGCCACAGACAGAUCCGGGACUCAGUAUGUUAGAGGGUCGAAUGAUGGUUGACGUUCGUCACUUCAUGGUGCAAUGCCGUCUUCUGGAGAGACACAGGUGUCCCAUUUCAUCUUCAGGAACAUAUUUUCUGGAAAGUGUCAACAGAAUGGGAAUCACAAGACUACAAAAACUAUUCUCCUGCAUAAGAAAGGUGAUAAUACCAGUAAAGAAAAUUAUCGUCCGAGAGCAAUUACGUCUUAUAUUUAGGGACACCUGUAUUUCGCUAAUACAUUUCGUGUCAAGGUAUUUAACAAAACACUGUAGAUUUUUCUUGUAAUUAUUGGCUGUGGUCGGUGAAGGCUGUUUUCCCGCACUUGACGGGGCCAAUGAGGACGUAGUUACCGUACUGCUGCACGCCCGCAAUUCGCCAAACCUCUAAGAAAAAAAAGCUACAGUUAUGUGUGAAAUAGCCUGACACGAGAUGUAUUCACGAAAUACAGGUGUCCUUAAUUAUAUCGAAAAAUAUUUGAACAUUGUAUGAUAAUUUUAAGUAUGAAAAGUACAAAAUACUUUCAAAUUUAAUACAUGGUUUUACAUCAACUCUAAGCACUAAAACCCAUACUGCUUAUUAUCUACAAAAUAAAUCUAUACACGGCAACUGAUUAUGAAUCAGUUGAGUUUUUUUUAUAAAGCAUCUAAGGCCUUGAUUGUAUAAAUAUAUUGUUGGAUAAAUUAACUAAACUAGGAAUACUAUAAAAUGCACAAAAAUAGAAGAGUUUGAUCUCAAUGACAUAAAGCAUAAUUUAUCUAUUUAGCACAGCCUGUAUAAUUGCUUCCCCAUUGUCAAGACUAAAAUUAAAAAAACUGCGAAAGAAGCAGUAUAAAAUAUCUAUCUCAUUAUCUUUGCGGGUGACUCAAAUAUCAUACAAACAAAACGAAACGCAAGAAAGCAUAUUUUAAACACUGUAAAUAACUUAGAUUUUAAAUAAAAGGAUAAUAAUCAGUCUGUAAAAUUUAGUUUUAACGAUGAGUUGUAAACAGAACAUCAAACAUAUAUCAUAGGUGUUACUGCGAACAGAGAACUCUCACAAACAAUACAAUUCCUUUCUGCGCAACCUGCAAGCUCCGGUACCUUCUGUAAAAAAAAUAUAUAAAUGUAAAACUUUUCCGGAAGUCGUACCAUGGUAAUGACUAAAAUAUGUAGCCUUACUUCUAAAUCUAAUUAUCUAGAGAACAAAUUGUAUUACAUUAUUUUCAUGAUUUAAACGGUAGCAAAAUUAACACCUACAUACGAACAGAAGUUUGCUCUUUUAUUCAUUUUUUUAGUUACGUGAUAAUUUUUUUGAGUUAUAAAGAAAUCCAACUUAAACAGUAAAAAAGAAAGGCUUUUAAUGAAAAAACCUACUCAGUCAUUAUAGAUAACUGUUCAAACCAUUUAAGAUUCAUCCUGUUACAUAAAUUUUUAUAUUCAUAUACAUCUAAUGUAUACACAUAUCAGAAAAAAGGCAAUAAAUUCAUAUUAACUUCAUUAUCAAACUAUAAUAAAACACAAAAUACACUUGCAGAGAACCACCAAAUAUAUUGCGUAAGUGUUUCUGCAAUGAGUUAAACUUUAAAAUUGACUUUAUUAUUUCAAAAAAAUAAUUUAAAACUCCAAGCAAAUGUAAGAACACGUCUUCUAGAUAUAAUGUAAGAUUAUAAUGCCGUGUCCGAAUUCGCCUGAAGAAUAUACUUGUAGAUACUUUGGAAGUGACUUUGCAAGACUGUCAGAAAUGGACGUGAAGUAUGUAUGCUAUGCAAUACGCAAGUAAAUGAGUCUGUGUAAUUCUCGCGUACUUGAAGUUGAAAAUACUUCUUCAUUUGAAAUAUUUUUGGUCAUAUUUUAUAUAUCAUUUAAAUAAUUUAAGAGGACGUAAAAUAAAUAUAAUUUAUUUUGUAUUUUACUGGUAUCUAUAAAUAAAUUGACAAAAUUAAUUUAUGUAUAUGGAUGUUUAAAACGAAGUUUCAACAAACACAUGUACAUAUUUAGCCUACAGAUCGUUACUACAAAACAAAAGUACAAUAAUAAUGUAUGUUGCCGUAAAUUCACGUGACAGCGAUGAAGUGUUAAAAAAAAAAGGACUAAUUUCACAUGCGUUUAAAAAUAAAAUCUAAACAUCCUUUUCGGCUGGCUAAACAUUGAACUUAUCCGGAUUCGUUAAAGGCAAGUGAAGUACGUAAGGUUGCAAACAUGUAACUGCAUUACUUUCUGAUUAAUUUUAAUAAAAUUAUGCAUAUAUCCAAAAAAUGUUCAGUUAAAAUUAGUAUUGUAUUGUAUUGUAUUUUAUUUUAUUGUAUUGGUGUUUGUAUCUGGGUAUAUUUUUAUUGUGUGUUUAAGAUUUAUUGACUUUUGUGCCUCAUGUACUUUUGGUGAAAAAUGAAAAUGUAAUUAUGUAUUAUUAUCAGGGCCCAAAGCAAAACUAUUUGUUCGUUGGCCGGAAAUGAAAUGUAGUUAUACUUGUAUAUCUAAGAAAAAUAUUUGUAUUUUGUAUGAAUGUAAGUAUUUUAUUAUGUAAAUUUUUAUUACUUACAAAUAUUUCGUACUCAUAAUAUCUAGUUUCCAUUUGUCUUAAGACAUAAUAAAAUGAUAUACUAAGCAAAAAAUGUUUAUUGGUUCGCAAUUUUUCAUUGUUACAAUAUUUUAAAAUGAAAAAUUUGCUAUUCAGCAAUAUCAACUUCUAAAACGUGAGUAAAAAUUAUCAUUAAAUUAUA